rnacentral:rRNA from 1 species
UACGAAGGGGGCUAGCGUUGCUCGGAAUCACUGGGCGUAAAGCGCACGUAGGCGGAUUGUUAAGUCAGGGGUGAAAUCCUGGAGCUCAACUCCAGAACUGCCUUUGAUACUGGCGAUCUUGAGUCCGGGAGAGGUGAGUGGAACUCCGAGUGUAGAGGUGAAAUUCGUAGAUAUUCGCAAGAACACCAGUGGCGAAGGCGGCUCACUGGCUCGGUACUGACGCUGAGGUGCGAAAGCGUGGGGAGCAAACAGG